rnacentral:rRNA from 1 species
CGACCGGCGCACGGGUGAGUAACACGUAUCCAACCUGCCCUUUACUCGGGGAUAGCCUUUCGAAAGAAAGAUUAAUACAAGAUGGCAUCAUGAGUCCGCAUGUUCACAUGAUUAAAGGUAUUCCGGUAGACGAUGGGGAUGCGUUCCAUUAGAUAGUAGGCGGGGUAACGGCCCACCUAGUCUUCGAUGGAUAGGGGUUCUGAGAGGAAGGUCCCCCACAUUGGAACUGAGACACGGUCCAA